CUACGUUUUUCCACUCUCUUUGCCUCCAAUAUGUUUUCCCCCAAAAUUGUCAUUCCCCCUCAAACCUAAUUCCACCUCUUCAAUUGAGGCAGAAAGAUUUAGCAGAAAUACAUUGUUAAGCAAAUUUUGCGAGAUACUCGGCUUGAAGAUCCAGAAACGAGAUUUUCUUCCGCUUCGGAGUCUGUUGAAACGCCCUUCGAAUCGAACACUUCCUUGUUCACUGCAGGUACUUGUAUUCCUAAUUUGUUUGUUAAUGCUUGUGCAAAUUAUUUCGUUUUUUAAUUUUUAACUUCAAUUGGCCUUUGGAAUGAAUAUUCGGGCAAUUAUUUUACUGCUCUAGUUUCAUUUUCGCCUGUGAUGGUAAUCAAUCAUGUGGGUUUCAAUUUCAUUGACUGAAGAAUACAAUUGGGAAAAAAAAAAAAAACUAUCUUUCUAAUUUCCCCAAAAUUUAGAACGAUUUGAUCAAAUCCUAGAGAAUAUGAUAUCCGUGUUGUUUAACUAUGUGGGGGCUGCUUCUGGUGCUGUUCUUCUUUUGGCAUUUAAUGGCACAUUUGGUACUCGCUAAUAGAUGGGAGGGAAGAGUAUUAAAGAAUCUAAAAUAUUUUGGCACAUGCGGUGCAGUGAAUGGUUUGUUUAUAAAUUUUUCAGUUUUUUCCUCUUCCUUGGCUUCUUGGCCUUUAUUUUGUUACAAAUGGUUUUUAUUUUUCUAGAUGCUAGUUGUGGUUUUUUCUAGCUGUGUCAUAUGCUGUUUUGUAUUGGUGUAUUCUUGUGUUUCAUUACCUGUGUGGACACUUGAAGAAAUGACUGUUAGUUUCUGCAAAUUUUCCAAAAACUUGUUUUUCUUAUAGUUCAUUUUCCUGCCUUCUAUAAAGAAAUUGAUAGCAGUGAGGAAAGAGGAUUAGAGUGUUCUUUAUGUAUAUGCGGGCAAACCUGUGAAGUAAUGUUGGAUUAGUUUGUAGUUGAUAGGAAACUUUAGUCGUAUUUUCUUCAUGUACUAUGCCACUUGAAGGCUUGAACUCCAUAUUUCUUGUCACAACUUACAGAAAAUUGGAAUUCGCCACGUCCAUCUCCUGUAGUUGAGGCCUUCAGUGACUAGUAUGAUUUAUAUAUUCCCAUACUCAUGUCCAGUGUGUGAGUCCUGAGUACUGUUGAAAGCUGUGCUCCUCUUAAUUGGAGCCAUUUACCUAUGGCAAGGAGAGCAGGUGGGGUGGUUUAAUCGUCAU
rnacentral:lncRNA from 1 species